rnacentral:rRNA from 1 species
UCGAGCGCGGUAGCAAUACGGAGCGGCAGACGGGAGAGUAACACGUGGGAACGUGCCCUUCAGUUCGGAACAAGCCCAGGGAAACUUGGGCUAAUACCGGAUACGUCCGUAAGGAGAAAGAUUUAUCGCUGAAGGAUCGGCCCGCGUCUGAUUAGCUAGUUGGUGGGGUAAUGGCCCACCAAGGCGACGAUCAGUAGCUGGUCUGAGAGGAUGAUCAGCAGACACUGGGACUGAGACACGGCCCAGACUCCUACGGGAGGCAGCAGUGGGGAAUAUUGGACAAUGGGCGCAAGCCUGAUCCAGCCAUGCCGCGUGGGUGAUGAAGGCCUUAGGGUUGUAAGCCCUUUCGGCGGGGAAGAUAAUGACGGUACCCGCAGAAGAAGCCCCGGCUAACUUCGUG